GUGUCAGCAGCCGCGGUAAUACGUAGGUGGCAAGCGUUGUCCGGAAUUACUGGGUGUAAAGGGCGUGUAGACGGGAUUGCAAGUCAGAUGUGAAAGCCCCAGGCUUAACCUGGGAACUGCAUCUGAAACUGUGAUUCUUGAGUGUCGGAGAGGAAAGCGGAAUUCCUAGUGUAGCGGUGAAAUGCGUAGAUAUUAGGAGGAACGCCAGUGGCGAAGGCGGCUUUCUGGACGAUAACUGACGUUGAGGCGCGAAAGCGUGGGGAGCAAACAGGAUUAGAUACCCUGGUAGUCCACGCCGUAAACGAUGGAUACUAGGUGUAGGGGGUAUCGACCCCCCCUGUGCCGGAGUAAACACAAUAAGUAUCCCACCUGGGGAGUACGGCCGCAAGGUUGAAACUCAAAUAAAUUGGCGG
rnacentral:rRNA from 1 species